UCCUUGUAGCUGAGUCAGUAAAGAGUCUGCCUGCAAUGCAGGAGACCUGGGUUUGAUUCCUGGCUCAGGAA
rnacentral:tRNA from 1 species